rnacentral:rRNA from 1 species
UACGUAGGGUGCGAGCGUUGUCCGGAAUUAUUGGGCGUAAAGGGCUCGUAGGCGGCCUGUCGCGUCGACCGUGAAAACCCGCAGCUCAACUGCGGGCUUGCGGUCGAUACGGGCAGGCUGGAGUUCGGUAGGGGAGACUGGAAUUCCUGGUGUAGCGGUGAAAUGCGCAGAUAUCAGGAGGAACACCGGUGGCGAAGGCGGGUCUCUGGGCCGAUACUGACGCUGAGGAGCGAAAGCGUGGGGAGCGAACAGG